GCUGGAGUGGUGGAAUUGGUAUACACGCACGACUCAAAAUCGUGUGCCUUCGGGCUUGCGGGUUCAAGUCCCGCCUCCAGCACCA
rnacentral:tRNA from 1 species